ACGGGUGAGUAACACGUGGGUAACCUGCCCAUCAGAAGGGGAUAACACUUGGAAACAGGUGCUAAUACCGUAUAACACUAUUUUCCGCAUGGAAGAAAGUUGAAAGGCGCUUUUGCGUCACUGAUGGAUGGACCCGCGGUGCAUUAGCUAGUUGGUGAGGUAACGGCUCACCAAGGCCACGAUGCAUAGCCGACCUGAGAGGGUGAUCGGCCACACUGGGACUGAGAUACGGCCCAGACUCCUACGGGAGGCAGCAGUAGGGAAUCUUCGGCAAUGGACGAAAGUCUGACCGAGCAACGCCGCGUGAGUGAAGAAGGUUUUCGGAUCGUAAAACUCUGUUGUUAGAGAAGAACAAGGAUGAGAGUAGAACGUUCAUCCCUUGACGGUAUCUAACCAGAAAGCCACGGCUAACUACGUGCCAGCAGCCGCGGUGAUACGUAGGUGGUAAGCGUUGUCCGGAUUUAUUGGGCGUAAAGCGAGCGCAGGCGGUUUCUUAAGUCUGAUGUGAAAGCCCCCGGCUCAACCGGGGAGGGUCAUUGGAAACUGGGAGACUUGAGUGCAGAAGAGGAGAGUGGAAUUCCAUGUGUAGCGGUGAAAUGCGUAGAUAUAUGGAGGAACACCAGUGGCGAAGGCGGCUCUCUGGUCUGUAACUGACGCUGAGGCUCGAAAGCGUGGGGAGCGAACAGGAUUAGAUACCCUGGUAGUCCACGCCGUAAA
rnacentral:rRNA from 1 species